AAGUCGUAACAAGGUUUUCGUAGGUGAACCUGCGAAAGGAUCAUUACCGAAAUCAACGAACAUUGCUUGCAAUGUAGGCGCACAUCGCGCUUCGGCGAGAUGAGCUGCAGUGGAGAGUGCUUCAAGGCGCAAACUGCUGCAGUGGCAGUGGCCAGUCCACUGCAGUCCUGUGUGGACGAACACUGUUUCGAGAGCACCUCGUGUGCCCUGUGUUUGUAAAGGAAAACCCAAAGCAGAACAACUGCAAACGGUGGAUCACUCGGCUC
rnacentral:misc_RNA from 1 species